UAUGUGUUCUUUCAAGACUUGUUAUUUCACAGAUUUCUAGAACUUUCAUUUUGGUGGAAUUUUAAUUUUUCGAUACAUGGAAUGAAGCUACUCAAUGCCGAUUUCCAAGACUUGGGAUUUUGCCGAUUUGGGAUUUUCAAAACCGAAGUAUGGUGCGACAUCGUGCUGUAAAUUUUAUAAAGAUGACUUAUUUCAUGGAGAAAAUUUCUAGAGCUUUCAUUUUGAUUGGAAACUUUACCACAAUACAUUGUUAUGGAGUUAAACUCCGUUCUGAAGAGUCUUUGAAAUUUCAAUUCCCAUUUUAGUUUGGGAAUUCUUACAAAAAGAUGGGAAUUGGAUUAAAUAAAAAUGGCGAUUGGUCUAUGGUUCGGAUGAAUUUAAGAAAUCCAGGAUCCUUUCUGAAUCCUAAUUUUCUCGUGAAAAUUCAUCGGAAGAAAGUUGAAAAUGGAUGAAAACCUUUUUCCUGACAAACUUUCAAAGGCCGUCAUCAUAAGUUGAAUUCGACAUCCUGUCAGCCUGCAAAUGAAUUGAAGAAAUGGAGCCCAGUCUUGCUGAAGAUGAAAUGUGAGCUCUUUAAACGACUUCUAAUCCCAAGCUUUAAGAAUAUUAAUUUCAAAAUACUUUCCUUUCGCUUAGAUUUGAUAUAAUUAGAUUUUGUAAAACCAAAAAUUUUUUAUUGGUUAACCAUCUGACCAGAUUGUCAAUCACCAUGAUCAUGAGUCAACAAGUAGUCAAAUAUUGCUCUGGUAGGAUAAAAUUCAAAUGUUUACCAACCAUUUAAAAUUGUGUAGUCAAUUGGUAUUGACAAAAUUUGAGCUUACGCGUUGUGCCGAGUUUUGGCCCUUAUAUGUAAACACACUAUUUAAACAGUUAAGCUUCAACGAUCUUAUUAAAGAAUGAAAAUUGAACAGUUAAUUCAUAGCUUAAAUCCUCAAAACCUUCUACCAGAAGGAACCAAGGAAGUUUUUCGAAUGCAGGUCUUUUCGUGGGACCUUUCAUACAUUUCAGAUGAUGGAAAAGAACAUGAAAACUGAAUACACCUUCAAAAAUUGAAUCAAACUGCAAAAAUCUAUUUCCGUAGUAAAACUGCAUUUAUAAGUAUAAAGUUUCUCUCAUCUUUAUACCUUCAGGGGAAUGUAGUCAGAAAUGUAUUGGAAACUAAGAAGGUAAACUAUGGAAAAAUUAGAUCAUAAUCAACUGAAUCAUCAACACAGAACUCUUCAACUUUAAUGGCUGCCAUUAGCCGCUUAUUUUCUCAAUAGUUCGAGUUCUGUUGUCCUGCCUGUACCCUCCAUGUACCUGUUUCAGCCCAAUGACAAAGGAGAUGAUGUAAAAAGAGGAAUUGUUGCCCUGGGUUUUGAGAUUGAUAAUGGCAAGAAUGUGUUGGUAGGAGCUCCGAGAAAUGAGUUUAAAUUGGAAUUCAAUUGUAUAUGUGUAAAGUCAUCAAUUAGUUAAUCCAUAAAGUAAAAUAAGCUUUUGUUGCCAAGAAGUGUCAUUACUUAUGUCAAGGCUCGUGAUAAGUUGGUUAACUUUUGCUACAUUGCGGUUAAAAAUGAAUUUUUAUUCUUUUAAGGAAAAUGCCAAUUUAAAUCCGUCGCUACAUAUCGAUAGUUCAUUAUUAACAUAAUGCUGCUAGUAACUUCAUCUUGGAAUGUGUGGGAAAUCAAGGCCAUCCUUCAUAAUAUUUGACAAUGAUUUCAAAUAUUGAUUUCGGGAUAUGGCAUCCUGGUUCUACAGGAAAAGGUUUUGGAUUUGCAGGACAAAAGAUAAGAAAUUUCUAUCGAUAAUGUUCAGGGUUUCUUGGUUCUUAAAUGUUAGUGGCAUUGAUUCUCAUCUAAACGAAUGGGCAGUGCAAAUCUUGGGGAGCGAAUCUCUUCUGAUGACAUCUCGCGUACGAUUUCCUUCUGCGUUUGGAUAAUGAAACAUCAGCAUAAGAAAUUGAAUUUUUCAGUUUAGUAUAACUUCCAGUUCGAAUCGCUUGAUAGGCUGCUCUGUUACUGAUUAUUUUAGAAGCAAAAUGAAAUGGUAAAGUCUGUUUCUCCAGUUUUCUUCUGGUUAUUCAAACUUAAGUUUUUGUCAGCUUCUUCGAAAUUUUAAGAAGCACUAAGAUUUGAAAUUCUCUCAUUCAUAAUGUUAUUGUAUUUCUUUGGUUUACUGUCGUUUCUAUUCCUCCUUAACUAAAUCUUUGGAAUUUUACCAAUUAAAACGGAUCUCUUCAGAUACGAUUCUAAGAAACACUUUUCCACAUAAAACAAAUUGUAGCGAAUAUUUCUAGUUUAGA